rnacentral:rRNA from 1 species
UACGUAGGGUGCGAGCGUUAAUCGGAAUUACUGGGCGUAAAGCGUGCGCAGGCGGUUUUGCAAGCCGGAUGUGAAAUCCCCGGGCUCAACCUGGGAAUGGCAUUUGGGACUGCAAGGCUCGAGUGCGGCAGAGGAGACUGGAAUUCCUGGUGUAGCAGUGAAAUGCGUAGAUAUCAGGAGGAAUACCGAUGGCGAAGGCAGGUCUCUGGGCUGACACUGACGCUCAUGCACGAAAGCGUGGGGAUCAAACAGG